AAUAAUUCAGUCACUGAACAUCAUGUAGUAUUAUGUUAAUUUACCGAUAGAUCAAUCUGCUUUGAAAGAAUAACCAGUAGAGGAAAAUAUGAGGAAAUAAUGUUUCAUAUUUCAGGAAGCUCGAGAUCACCUUUGGGAUACUUUUAGUUUCGUUUUUCCGCGAAAAUCUCUGAAGAAGAUGUUGUCCUGAGGUUUACACAGUUUUGACGCCUGAACAUGAAAUUCAUGCGGAACUUUUACAAUGUCCAGAUGCUUGAAUCUUCUGCUGUUGUGUUUGAUACAUUGUAUCGAAUCCACUGAAUCCUCUCCUCGAUGUGUGACGGGGAACAAGGAGGCUGCGUCACUCUGUCAUGUGAAUUAAAGGACGGAAAGAUUUAUAGAUAUCGCUUUAAGCAGAUUUUCAAACAUUAUCCCUAUUUAUCCGAAUGAAAAAGAUGGCAGGAUAUUCAAAAAUGGAUCAUGUGACGUCAUCAUCAAGGAUCUGAGAUUCAGUGAUGCUGGGAAAUACAUUCUGAGAAUUCGUUACAAAAAUAAUCAGACAGAAGUGCAGCGACACACACUGGAGUACCAACUUGAUAUUCAUGAAAAACUGCACACAGAUGAAGAACAACGUACUGUAGCGUCUAGGAUUAUUGUGCUGUGUGUGAGUGUAACUCUGCUGGCUCUGGUGAUAUCUGCUCUCAUCUGGAAAUACCGACGUCAGAACAGGAACGCAGAACAUGAGCCUGUUCAAAUGAAAGACAUACAGUAGUCCAGAAGAUCUAGAGACGACACUGAUUGUUUGUAAUCUGCCUUCAGAGUCAACAGAUCUAGAGGAUUGUCAGCAUGUAUGAACAUUAGAGCUGGAUGUUCUUCAUGGUGACAGUAUCUGCAGGGGUUCAGAGGGUCUCAGUGUCUCCUCACAGCAGAAGAUCCUCGGUUCAUCUCAGUCUGAGUCUCUUCUGUGUGGAGGUCACAUGUUCUCCUCGUGUCAGUGUGGGUUUACUGCACACACUCCAGAGACACGCAGGUCAGGUGGACGUGCCACAUUGACUGUGUGUGAGUUCAAGCCAUGUAAUGGGGAGGGUUGAGGACAGACCUGGCUACUUAUCCCGGAAAAAUACACUGCCAUGAACAUUAGUUUCUCACUGUUAUGGGCGGCUGCUAACAGGAAUCGCACAACAAGGGAGAGUUCAGGAACAAAUCCACUCUGACACUCUUGUACGGCAAGAGACGGCCAUAAAAUCAUCAAGAGUCAGACACGACUGGAAAAACCUAAUGAGUUCAACACUUAGAUAAAGUGAAGUAGAAAGACCUGCUGAACUGGAAACUGAGAGGUUACUACUGAAUCCAUCAAAACUCAAGUGUUCAUAGUAUAAACAUUAGGUUUUUUGUAUACAUUUUGGCCUUAAAGCUUUUUUUUUUCACUUGUUUACUUGAUUUUUUAAAGUAUUUUCAAUAGCUUUCUGUAUUCAAGCCUUCUUGUACCUCAGUUACAUCAUGUGUACUGUAUGAAUUGAGGAUGAUUAUAAACUGAGAAAGCAAAUGUGACGAGCAGGGCGGCGAGAGCCGUGAGGGAACAGCGUGAGGCCGGUGACGCGAGCGAUAACGAGCUCCACCUGUGAGGCACACCGGCCUUGAGUCUCAGUGCGCUCCAAACGGGAUAUAUCGCCCUCUGAAGGGCACUUCGGAGAGAAAACAAUCAUGGCCGCCAUAUUGAAGGGUCGUUCCAAACCGAAGUGCUCAAAUGUGGCCACUUCAAAGGGCCCUUCUGAAUGAAGGAUUUCGAAGGGUACAACUAAUGGACACUUUGGGACCCCAUGAUCCUUUGCACAGGGAAGUUCUUUGACGUCACACAAUGGGAACAGGAGGUUAUAGGAGUUUGAUUUUACCUACAAAUGUAUGUAUAGUAUUCUUCUAUACUGCUGCAACAUUUAUACAAGUUAGAUUUGGUACAUUAUUAUGGUCAAAAUGACAUUGUACUUCAACAAAAAUACUUUACAGCUCCUUUAUCAGUCCAUUCAAAUGUUUAAAAUACAUAGACACAAUAUACAAUAUUAGGUGCAA